UGUAGUCAUAUGCUUGUCUCAAAGAUUAAGCCAUGCAUGUCUAAGUAUAAGCGACUUAUACUGUGAAACUGCGAAUGGCUCAUUAUAUCAGUAAUAGUUUAUUUGAUAGUACCUUACUACUUGGAUAACCGUGGUAAUUCUAGAGCUAAUACAUGCUAAAAAUCCCGACUUCGGAAGGGAUGUGUUUAUUAGAUUAAAAACCAAUGCCCUCCGGGGCUCCUUGGUGAUUCAUGAUAACUAUUCGAAUCGCAUGGCCUUGCGCCGGCGAUGGUUCAUUCAAAUUUCUUCCCUAUCAACUUUCGAUGUUUGGGUAUUGGCCAAACAUGGUUGCAACGGGUAACGGAGGGUUAGGGCUCGACCCCGGAGAAGGAGCCUGAGAAACGGCUACUACAUCCAAGGAAGGCAGCAGGCGCGCAAAUUACCCAAUCCCGACACGGGGAGGUAGUGACAAUAAAUACUGAUACAGGGCUCUUUUGGGUCUUGUAAUUGGAAUGAGUACAAUUUAAAUCUCUUAACGAGGAACAAUUGGAGGGCAAGUCUGGUAAUCG
rnacentral:rRNA from 1 species